AUUGAACGCUGGCGGCAAGCUUAACACAUGCAAGUCGAACGAGUGGCGGACGGGUGAGUAAUGUCUGGGAAACUGCCUGAUGGAGGGGGAUAACUACUGGAAACGGUAGCUAAUACCGCAUACCAUCGGAUGUGCCCAGAUGGGAUUAGCUAGUAGGUGGGGUAAAGGCUCACCUAGGCGACGAUCCCUAGCUGGUCUGAUAGGAUGACCAGCCACACGGGAACGGAGACACGGUCCAGACUCCUACGGAAGGCAGCAGUGGGGAAUAUUGCACAAGGGGGGAAAGCCGGAUGCAGCCAUGCCGCGUGGAUGAAGAAGGCCUUCGGGUUGUAAAGUACGUUCAGCGGGGAGGCGUUACCCGCAGAAGAAGCACCGGCUAACUCCGUGCCAGCAGCCGCGGUAAUUC
rnacentral:rRNA from 1 species